UUUGGGAGAUAACUCCUACAAAGAAAAGUAUUCGUUUACGCAGGGUAAAUUUCAAAAGCGCAUAAACUGUUCGAUAUCAUAUACAAAAUAUCUAAGCGACAUAUUGCGAAACAAAUGUUUAUCGCAAGAACAAAAUUAGGCGGAAGAAAAAAAAAAAAUAAUCAGAAGAAAAACAAUAGGUCUUUCCACAGAAAAGUGGAAAGACCUAAUAAUCAGAAGAAAUCCAAUAGGUCUUUCCAC
rnacentral:lncRNA from 1 species